rnacentral:rRNA from 1 species
UGGGGAAUUUUGGACAAUGGGGGAAACCCUGAUCCAGCCAUCCCGCGUGUGCGAUGAAGGCCUUCGGGUUGUAAAGCACUUUUGGCAGGAAAGAAACGUCGCGGGUUAAUACCCCGCGAAACUGACGGUACCUGCAGAAUAAGCACCGGCUAACUACGUGCCAGCAGCCGCGGUAAUACGUAGGGUGCAAGCGUUAAUCGGAAUUACUGGGCGUAAAGCGUGCGCAGGCGGUUCGGAAAGAAAGAUGUGAAAUCCCAGAGCUUAACUUUGGAACUGCAUUUUUAACUACCGGGCUAGAGUGUGUCAGAGGGAGGUGGAAUUCCGCGUGUAGCAGUGAAAUGCGUAGAUAUGCGGAGGAACACCGAUGGCGAAGGCAGCCUCCUGGGAUAACACUGACGCUCAUGCACGAAAGCGUGGGGAGCAAACAGGAUUAGAUACCCUGGUAGUCCACGCCCUAAACGAUGUCAACUAGCUGUUGGGGCCUUCGGGCCUUGGUAGCGCAGCUAACGCGUGAAGUUGACCGCCUGGGGAGUACGAUCGCAAGAUUAAAACUCAAAGGAAUUGACGGGGGUCAUAGCUUUUUCCUG